rnacentral:rRNA from 1 species
UACGAAGGGUGCAAGCGUUACUCGGAAUUACUGGGCGUAAAGCGUGCGUAGGCGGUCUUUUAAGUCUGCUGUGAAAUCCCCGGGCUCAACCUGGGAAUGGCAGUGGAUACUGGGAGGCUAGAGUGUGUCAGAGGAUGGUGGAAUUCCCGGUGUAGCGGUGAAAUGCGUAGAGAUCGGGAGGAACAUCAGUGGCGAAGGCGGCCAUCUGGGACAACACUGACGCUGAGGCACGAAAGCGUGGGGAGCAAACAGG